rnacentral:rRNA from 1 species
GGGCGUAAGAGCUCGUAGGCGGUUUGUCGCGUCUGCUGUGAAAACUCGAGGCUCAACCUCGGGCUUGCAGUGGGUACGGGCAGACUAGAGUGCGGUAGGGGAGACUGGAAUUCCUGGUGUAGCGGUGGAAUGCGCAGAUAUCAGGAGGAACACCGAUGGCGAAGGCAGGUCUCUGGGCCGCAACUGACGCUGAGGAGCGAAAGCAUGGGGAGCGAACAGGAUUAGAUACCCUGGUAGUCCAUGCCGUAAACGUUGGGCACUAGGUGUGGGGCUCAUUCCACGAGUUCCGUGCCGCAGCAAACGCAUUAAGUGCCCCGCCUGGGGAGUACGGCCGCAAGGCUAAAACUCAAAGAAAUUGACGGGGGCCCGCACAAGCGGCGGAGCAUGCGGAUUAAUUCGAUGCAACGCGAAGAACCUUACCAAGGCUUGACAUACACCGGAAACUUCCAGAGAUGGUUGCCCCGCAAGGUCGGUGUACAGGUGGUGCAUGGUUGUCGUCAGCUCGUGUCGUGAGAUGUUGGGUUAAGUCCCGCAACGAGCGCAACCCUCGUCCUAUGUUGCCAGCGGGUCAUGCCGGGGACUCAUAGGAGACUGCCGAGGUCAACUCGGAGGAAGGUGGGGGAUGACGUCAAAUCAUCAUGCCCCUUAUGUCUUGGGCUUCACGCAUGCUACAAUGGCCGGUACAAAGGGCUGCGAUACCCGCGAGGUGGAGCGAAUCCCAAAAAGCCGGUCUCAGUUCGGAUUGGGGUCUGCAACUCGACCCCAUGAAGUCGGAGUCGCUAGUAAUCGCAGAUCAGCAACGCUGCGGUGAAUACGUUCCCGGGCUUGUACACACCGCCCGUC